rnacentral:rRNA from 1 species
GAUGAACGCUGACGGCGUGCCUAAUACAUGCAAGUCGAGCGAACGGACGAGAAGCUUGCUUCUCUGAUGUUAGCGGCGGACGGGUGAGUAACACGUGGAUAACCUACCUAUAAGACUGGGAUAACUUCGGGAAACCGGAGCUAAUACCGGAUAAUAUUUUGAACCGCAUGGUUCAAAAGUGAAAGACGGUCUUGCUGUCACUUAUAGAUGGAUCCGCGCUGCAUUAGCUAGUUGGUAAGGUAACGGCUUACCAAGGCAACGAUGCAUAGCCGACCUGAGAGGGUGAUCGGCCACACUGGAACUGAGACACGGUCCAGACUCCUACGGGAGGCAGCAGUAGGGAAUCUUCCGCAAUGGGCGAAAGCCUGACGGAGCAACGCCGCGUGAGUGAUGAAGGUCUUCGGAUCGUAAAACUCUGUUAUUAGGGAAGAACAUAUGUGUAAGUAACUGUGCACAUCUUGACGGUACCCAAUCAGAAAGCCACGGCUAACUACGUG